rnacentral:rRNA from 1 species
GAUGAACGCUGGCGGCGUGCCUAAUACAUGCAAGUCGAACGAAACUUCUUUAUCACCGAGUGCUUGCACUCACCGAUACAGAGUUGAGUGGCGAACGGGUGAGUAACACGUGGGCAACCUGCCCAAAAGAGGGGGAUAACACUUGGAAACAGGUGCUAAUACCGCAUAACCAUAGUUACCGCAUGGUAACUAUGUAAAAGGUGGCUAUACUACCGCUUUUGGAUGGGCCCGCGGGGCAUUAGCUAGUUGUUAGGGUAAAGGCUUACCAGGGCAAUGAUGCGUAGCCGAAUUGAUUGAGUGGUCGGCCGCCUUGGAACUGGGACACGGCCAAAGGUCCUACGGGAGGCAGCAGUAGGGAAUGUUCCACAACAGGGGAAAGCCUGACAGAACAGCGCCGCGUGGGUGAAGGAGGUCUUCGGAUCGUAAAGCCCUGUUGUUAGAGAAGAAAGUGCGUGAGAGUAACUGUACACGUAUCGACGGUAACUAACCAGAAAGCCACGGCUAACUACGUG